GCAAGCGAUUUCGCAUCCUGUGAGCAGGAGCCAUAAAGCCAGCAUUGAAAGAAAGAGAAAGAGAGAGAGAGAGAACAUUUCCAUAUACCGUGCUGCCGUACGUGCCGUCUUUCAACGUUUGCGUUAGCUGUACAUUAAACGGUCAAAAUGACAGAGGGUGCAGCUACUAUCAGAACAAGGAAGUUUAUGACCAAUCGGCUUCUAUGCCGAAAACAAAUGGUCGUAGAUGUUAUUCAUCCAGGCCAGUCAUCGGUCAGGAAAACUGAGAUUCGUGAAAAAUUGGCAAAAAUGUACAAAGUGACACCAGAUGUCGUUUUUGUAUUUGGUUUCCAAACCAACUUUGGAGGUAGCAAGUCCACUGGCUUUGCACUUAUUUAUGAUACCUUGGACUAUGCCAAGAAGUUUGAACCCAAAUAUAGGCUAGCAAGGCAUGGUCUGUUUGAAAAACAAAAACAGACAAGGAAACAGCGCAAAGAGCGUAAAAAUAGGAUGAAGAAAGUGAGAGGCACCAAAAAGAGUAAAGUUGGUGCAGCGUCUAAAAAGGGAAGGAAGUAGACAAAUGCUCAUCAUUUGCACUACAGACUUCUGAAGAGGCAGUAUCUUAUUUAUGAUGCUUAUGUAAUACCAUAAACUUUUAUGAAGAUCAGAGGUCUCCCGACAUCCACGUAAAACUUAUUGUAAUUAAUGAUAUUUUUAUUGUAAUUAUAAUAAAUUUUACGUAAUAAAGGCGUAUUCUUUUUUA